rnacentral:rRNA from 1 species
CCUACGGGAGGCUGCAGUGGGGAAUAUUGCACAAUGGGCGAAAGCCUGAUGCAGCAACGCCGCGUGAGCGAUGAAUGCCUUCUGGUUGUAAAGCCCUUUCCUCAAGGAAGAAAAUGACGGUACGUGUGGAGGAAGCCCCGGUUAACUACGUGCCAGCAGCCGCGGUCAUAGGUAGGGGGCUAGCGUUAUUCGGAAUUACUGGGCGUAAAGGGUGCGUAGGUGGUUUCUUAAGUCAGAGGUGAAAGCGUACGGCUCAACCGUAGUAAGCCUUUGAAACUGGGGUACUUGAGUGCGGGAGAAGGGAGCGGAAUUCGUGGUGUAGCGGUGAAAUGCAUAGAUAUUACGCAGAACACCGAUUGCGAAGGCGGCAUUCUGGACUGUAACUGACACUGAAGCACGAAAGCGUGGGGAGCAAACAGGAUUAGAUACCCUGGUAGUC